rnacentral:snoRNA from 1 species
AUGACCUUACUUGAACAGGAUCUGUUCUAUAGGAUCGUGCCUCUGUAUCCUGGAAUUAUAAGGAGACAUGAACCCAAGUCUGGUCGAUGAAUCAUACAAUGAAGGCAGUUU